CACCAGCGCCACAAGUGGCAACCGUAAUUAUUGGGCCUAAAGCGUUCGUAGCCGGCUUAGUAAAUUUUCUGUGAAAUCGUCUAGCUUAACUAGACGACGUGCAGGAAACACUGCUAGACUAGAGAUCGGGAGGGGCUAGGGGUAUUCUUGGGGGAGCGGUAAAAUGUAGUAAUCCCUUGAAGACCACCUGUGGCGAAGGCGCCUAGCCAGAACGAAUCUGACGGUGAGGGACGAAAGCUAGGGGAGCGAUCCG
rnacentral:rRNA from 1 species